rnacentral:rRNA from 1 species
AACGAACGCUGGCGGCGUGCCUAACACAUGCAAGUCGAACGUGAUUGGAAGCUUGCUUCCAUGAAAGUGGCGCACGGGUGAGUAACGCGUAGAUAAUCUGCCUGAUGAUCCGGGAUAACACCUCGAAAGGGGUGCUAAUACCGGAUAAGCCCACGGGGUCUUCGGACUCUGCGGGAAAAGGGGGGGACUUUCGGGCCUUCCGUCAUCAGAUGAGUCUGCGUACCAUUAGCUAGUUGGUAGGGUAAAGGCCUACCAAGGCGACGAUGGUUAGCUGGUCUGAGAGGAUGAUCAGCCACACUGGAACUGAGACACGGUCCAGACUCCCACGGGAGGCAACAGUGGGGAAUUUUGCGCAAUGGGGGAAACCCUGACGCAGCAACGCCGCGUGAGUGAUGAAGGCCCUUGGGUCGUAAAGCUCUGACAGAGGGAAAGAAGUGCAGGGGUGCUAAUAUCACCUUUGCUUGACGGUACCCUCAAAGGAAGCACCGGCUAACUCCGUGCCAGCAGCCGCCGUAAUAC